rnacentral:rRNA from 1 species
GUGGGGAAUCUUGCGCAAUGGACGAAAGUCUGACGCAGCGACGCCGCGUGGGUGAUGAAGGCCUUCGGGUUGUAAAGCCCUGUGGGGAGGAACGAAUAAGUCUUGGCUAAUAUCCACGAUGAUGACGGUACCUCCUUAGCAAGCACCGGCUAACUCUGUGCCAGCAGCCGCGGUAAGACAGAGGGUGCAAACGUUGUUCGGAAUCACUGGGCGUAAAGCGUGUGUAGGCGGCCAUGCAAGUCGGAUGUGAAAGCCCCGGGCUCAACCCGGGAAGUGCACUCGAUACUGCUUGGCUUGAGUCUCGGAGAGGUUGGUGGAAUUCUCGGUGUAGAGGUGAAAUUCGUAGAUAUCGAGAGGAACACCGGUGGCGAAGGCGGCCAACUGGACGAAGACUGACGCUGAGACACGAAAGCGUGGGGAGCAAACAGGAUUAGAAACCCUUGUAGUCC